rnacentral:rRNA from 1 species
AAUGAACGUUGGCGGCGUGCCUAACACAUGCAAGUCGAGCGUGAAAGUCCUUCGGGAUGAGUAAAGCGGCGGACGGGUGAGUAACGCGUGAGAAUCUGCCUUUCAGUGAAGAAUACCCUUGAGAAAUUAAGGUUAAUACUGCAUACACUCCUUCGGGAGUAAAGAUGGCCUAAUUGCUGUCGCUGAAAGAUGAGCUUGCGUUUUAUUAGCUAGUUGGUGGGGUAAAGGCUCACCAAGGCGAAGAUGAAUA